UACGUAGGGAGUAAGCGUUGUCCGGAAUCAUUGGGCGUAAAGCGCGCGUAGGUGGCUUCGUAAGUCCGUUGUGAAAGUCAAAGGCUCAACCUUUGAAAGCCGAUGGAUACUGCGGAGCUAGAGUACGGAAGAGGCGAGUGGAAUUCCUGGUGUAGCGGUGGAAUGCGCAGAUAUCAGGAGGAACACCAAUAGCGAAGGCAGCUCGCUGGGACGUUACUGACACUGAGGCGCGAAAGCGUGGGGAGCGAACAGG
rnacentral:rRNA from 1 species